UAGGGAAUCUUCGGCAAUGGACGAAAGUCUGACCGAGCAACGCCGCGUGAGUGAAGAAGGUUUUCGGAUCGUAAAACUCUGUUGGUAGAGAAGAACGUUGGUGAGAGUGGAAAGCUCAUCAAGUGACGGUAACUACCCAGAAAGGGACGGCUAACUACUUGCCAG
rnacentral:rRNA from 1 species